UACGUAGGUGGCGAGCGUUGUCCGGAUUUACUGGGCGUAAAGAGCGCGCAGGCGGCCAAGUCAGUCGAAUGUGAAAGCCCCCGGCUUAACUGGGGAGGGUCAUUGGAAACUGGGGGACUUGAGUGCAGAAGAGGAAAGUGGAAUUCCAAGUGUAGCGGUGAAAUGCGUAGAGAUUUGGAGGAACACCAGUGGCGAAGGCGACUUUCUGGUCUGUAACUGACGCUGAGGCGCGAAAGCGUGGGGAGCAAACAGG
rnacentral:rRNA from 1 species